rnacentral:lncRNA from 1 species
GUCACAAUACUGGCUCUACUGUCCUGCCUAGAAACUUUUGUGGAAGGAGAUUCCAGCACGAUUGAACACCCAGGUCCCAAUGCCUCUCCUGAAAAAAGAGCAAAUUACUACUUCCAAUGUUAUAGACAAUUCCGUAGGAAACGGCCUCAAAGUAGGGACAUUAUGGACACAGAAGCCCAGCUAGCUGAGAGGCUGGAGACAGCAGAGGAAACCAGAAGCAGAAGUCUGGGUAAGAAGAACUUUAUGUUUGAUGAUGGUUUCAACUUCUGAUGGAUCUCAUUUGCAUACCAGAGAAGGUCCCACCUGACCAGGACUCCCGGCUCCAAUGAACCUGAUCCUCCCAUUUUG